CAUAUAGAAGGCUAUUCUGUUAGUCGAGAGAAUCGAGCAGACUUGAUCCAAAUUCGAGCCAGCUCUCUCAAUGGCAUAGAAAGAUGAUUUUCGAUUUCUGAGAGUGGAGCUGACUCGAUCAGAAUCCGAGCUAGCUCUCUCGAGAGCACAGAACGUCAUAUUUUUUAAGAUCGAAAGAGAGUAGACUCGAAAUACAGUAGAGCAAGCUCGAAUUGAAAUUGAGCCAACUCGAGAUCAUUUCGAGCUGGCUCGAGUGCGUCUGAUAGACAUAACGGCUAGUUUUGCAGCGAGUCCAGUUUCAUCCCAACAAAUUUUCAAUAGUUAUUUUUUAUUUUCAACAGUCAAAAAUAGCUAGUUUUAGGUUCAAAUUAUUCUGAACUUGGAAGGAUGAUAGAGACAUAAAAGAAAGAGCAAGGGACAAAGAGAAGAACAACUAUUCAUG
rnacentral:lncRNA from 1 species